AGAAAGCUUGCUCUCGGGUGACGAGCGGCGGACGGGUGAGUAAUGUCUGGGAAACUGCCUGAUGGAGGGGGAUAACUACUGGAAACGGUAGCUAAUACCGCAUAACGUCGCAAGACCAAAGUGGGGGACCUUCGGGCCUCAUGCCAUCAGAUGUGCCCAGAUGGGAUUAGCUAGUAGGUGGGGUAACGGCUCACCUAGGCGACGAUCCCUAGCUGGUCUGAGAGGAUGACCAGCCACACUGGAACUGAGACACGGUCCAGACUCCUACGGGAGGCAGCAGUGGGGAAUAUUGCACAAUGGGCGCAAGCCUGAUGCAGCCAUGCCGCGUGUGUGAAGAAGGCCUUCGGGUUGUAAAGCACUUUCAGCGGGGAGGAAGGCGGUGAGGUUAAUAACCUUGGCGAUUGACGUUACCCGCAGAAGAAGCACCGGCUAACUCCGUGCCAGCAGCCGCGGUAAUACGGAGGGUGCAAGCGUUAAUCGGAAUUACUGGGCGUAAAGCGCACGCAGGCGGUCUGUCAAGUCGGAUGUGAAAUCCCCGGGCUCAACCUGGGAACUGCAUUCGAAACUGGCAGGCUAGAGUCUUGUAGAGGGGGGUAGAAUUCCAGGUGUAGCGGUGAAAUGCGUAGAGAUCUGGAGGAAUACCGGUGGCGAAGGCGGCCCCCUGGACAAAGACUGACGCUCAGGUGCGAAAGCGUGGGGAGCAAACAGGAUUAGAUACCCUGGUAGUCCACGCCGUAAACGAUGUCGAUUUGGAGGUUGUGCCCUUGAGGCGUGGCUUCCGGAGCUAACGCGUUAAAUCGACCGCCUGGGGAGUACGGCCGCAAGGUUAAAACUCAAAUGAAUUGACGGGGGCCCGCACAAGCGGUGGAGCAUGUGGUUUAAUUCGAUGCAACGCGAAGAACCUUACCUGGUCUUGACAUCCACAGAACUUUCCAGAGAUGGAUUGGUGCCUUCGGGAACUGUGAGACA
rnacentral:rRNA from 1 species